AUUAAGGUGUCUGAUUUAGGUGGUAAAUUGUAAAUUUACUUAAGAAUUUUAAUUCUCUUAAUA
rnacentral:tRNA from 1 species